UAAAAAUAAUAAGUUAAUUGCCUGAUUAGAAUAAUUUUCCGUUUCAUGUAUGUGAGCCUCAGUUAUUUUUUUGUGGUCGAGUGUCAUAAACGAUAUCUGAAUGACAAAAGCUUUUGGGGAAUUGUGUUGGUUGUGGGGUUUCGCUGGCUUGGUGCGGAUGGUUCUGACUAUCUCGUAAAUUAGUCUUGUGACAAACGAUGACAGUGCGGACGGCUUGUUGCUCUGUGCAAACAAACCAACCCCAACCCCACCCCACCCCACCCACGACCACACACCCUGCUUGCAACAUCGAUUAAACUUUGACAAAGUUGCGAUUAUUUUAUUGACAAACUGGCGACCUUGGCGUUGACAGUCGGUGACGUCACUGCGGCACUGGCUGGCACCCAGAUGCUGUCCUAUGUACAAUAUACCCCAAUCCAGCAUCCCAACUUACCAAUGACGGAAACGCACUUCUCGUUCACAACUCCACUGGGCAGGAGAUGGAAGUCGAACUCCGUGCCAUUAGCCACCACAGUGUGUCCAGCGUUGUUGCCGCCCUGUGGAUUGGAAAGAUUGAAAAUGUAGUUUUCCAGAUAUACAAUGUAUGGCUGUUGAUAUACAAAA